rnacentral:rRNA from 1 species
CCUACGGGAGGCAGCAGUGAGGAAUAUUGGUCAAUGGACGGAAGUCUGAACCAGCCAUGCCGCGUGCAGGAAGACGGCUCUAUGAGUUGUAAACUGCUUUUGUACAAGGGUAAACCUGAAUACGUGUAUUCAGCUGAAAGUACUGUACGAAUAAGGAUCGGCUAACUCCGUGCCAGCAGCCGCGGUAAUACGGAGGAUCCAAGCGUUAUCCGGAUUUAUUGGGGUUAAGGGGUGCGUAGGCGGAUUGAUAAGUUAGAGGUGAAAUGUCCGAGCUUAACUCGGAACUGCCUCUAAUACUGUUGAGCUAGAGAGUAGAUGCGGUAGGCGGAAUGUAUGGUGUAGCGGUGAAAUGCUUAGAGAUCAUACAGAACACCGAUUGCGAAGGCAGCUUACCAAGCUAUAUCUGACGUUGAGGCACGAAAGCGUGGGGAGCAAACAGGAUUAGAUACCCGUGUAGUC